UUGGAGCUGACUUCCCCACUUCCUUUACAAGUGAUUUUAUUAAAGCACCAGGACGGGACCCGUGGGCCAAAAGAGCUGCACUGUGGUUAUGAAGAGUGACUGCUUAUAUACUAUGGAGUUGGGGAAGAUUCCAGGCUGGCCUGAAGGGGGC